UACGUAAGUGGCGAGCGUUAUCCGGAAUUACUGGGCGUAAAGCGUGCGUAGGCGGUUUAGUGUGUGGGAAUUGAAAGCCCGGGGCUCAACUCCGGAUCCGGUUCCCAAACUGCUAGACUUGAGCGUAUCAGAGGACAGUGGAAUUCCCGGUGUAGCGGUAAUAUGCGUAGAUAUCGGGAGGAACACCGGUGGCGAAGGCGGUUCUCUGGGCCUUACCUGACGCUGAGGAGCGAAAGCGUGGGGAGCGAACAGG
rnacentral:rRNA from 1 species